GGAUGAACGCUGGCGGCGUGCCUAAUACAUGCAAGUCGAGCGAACGGACGAGAAGCUUGCUUUUCUGAUGUUAGCGGCGGACGGGUGAGUAACACGUGGAUAACCUACCUAUAAGACUGGGAUAACUUCGGGAAACCGGAGCUAAUACCGGAUAAUAUUUUGAACCGCAUGGUUCAAAAGUGAAAGACGGUCUUGCUGUCACUUAUAGAUGGAUCCGCGCUGCAUUAGCUAGUUGGUAAGGUAACGGCUUACCAAGGCAACGAUGCAUAGCCGACCUGAGAGGGUGAUCGGCCACACUGGAACUGAGACACGGUCCAGACUCCUACGGGAGGCAGCAGUAGGGAAUCUUCCGCAAUGGGCGAAAGCCUGACGGAGUAACGCCGCGUGAGUGAUGAAGGUCUUCGGAUCGUAAAACUCUGUUAUUAGGGAAGAACAUAUGUGUAAGUAACUGUGCACAUCUUGACGGUACCUAAUCAGAAAGCCACGGCUAACUACGUG
rnacentral:rRNA from 1 species